UGGACAAUCGAUGUUGAAUUCUUCUCGAUGACGUAGAUUCCUUGGUGGAAUGGAAACUAUAAAAUGCGAGAAUCCUUACGGAUUGGAAUCAUUCAAGCUCAAUCAAUCUCAUCUCCUCAGAAAUUAUCAUCUCUUCAAAAACCAAAAACUUCGCCAUGUUCCGAUUCGUCCUUGUCGUUCUCGCCCUCCUCGCCGUGGCGUCCGCCCAGCUUUUGUACACUUCCGGUGUGAGCGGCCCCAACUUCCACAACGCUUUCGCCUCCUCCGCCUCCACCGGAAUUCGAAGAUACGGAUCCACCGCUGGAUUGGCCUACGCCGCCGCUCCAGCAUACGCCGCCGCUAUUCCCGCCUACUAUUAAAAUUUUGAAGUUUUAUAUUUCCAAAUUUUUGGUUUACCAUGUUCUGAAUAAAACUGUGAACCUUUUAAGAAA